rnacentral:rRNA from 1 species
UCAAUAUAAAUUGAUAGUAAUUAUUUAUUAAUUUAUUUGUUGAUAAAUUUAUUUAUAUUAAAAAUAAUUAUAUAGUUAGUUGUUUUAGUAAUGUUUAAUGAACAAAUGAUUUUUAUGAUAGUUUAUUAGUAUCGUGAGAGAAAAUUGAAAUAUUUUGAAAAAUAUUUAUUUGAAAAGAAAAUUUUAUUUGUUGUACCUUUUGUAUCAGGGUUUAUCAAAUAAAUAAUAAAUAUUUAUUUUUCUCGAUUUUAUAAGAGUUAACGAGUUGUUAAAGUUAAUGUGUCAAAAUUAUUUUAAACAAUUUGUUAGAAAUGAAAUGUUAUUCGUUUAUAAAGGUAUCUAGUUCUUCUAGAAAUAGAUUUAAUCUAUUAAUUUUAGAGGUUUUGUUUAAUUUUUUAAGUAAAACUUUUUUAAUUAAAAUAUUUUAAGGGAUAAGCUUUAAAAUAAAUUUUUAUAAGAUAAUAUUGUUAUAAAUAAAUGUAUGCAUAAAAUUUGUAAUCAUUUGUGAGUUUGUUAUAAAUCAUUUUAUAAAGGUUAUUAUUUAUUAAUCUUUAAUUUUUUAUAGAAGUAUUUGCUUUAAUUUUGUAUGCAAAGUAAUAAUGAUAGAAUUAGUAUAUUUAUUGUUUAAGUAAUUUAAAUUGGAAAGUUUAUGUAAAGAACUCGGCAAAAUUGUACGCUCGCCUGUUUAACAAAAACAUGUCUUUUUGAGGGUUGAAUUUAAAGUCUGACCUGCCCAAUGAGGGGUUUAAUGGCCGCAGUAUCCUAACUGUGCAAAGGUAGCAUAAUCAUUAGUCUUUUAAUUGAAGGCUGGUAUGAAUGGUUGGACGAGGUGUAAACUGUUUCAUGUAAAUUUAAAUUAGAAUUUUAUUUUUUAGUCAAAAAGCUAAAAUUUUAUUAAAAGACGAGAAGACCCUAUAAAUCUUUAUAUUUUUAAUUAUCUAAGUUUUGUAGAUUUAUUUUAUUUUUAUAAUUUUAGAUAUUUUAUUGGGGUGAUAUUAAAAUUUGAUAAACUUUUAAUUUGUUUAUAUCAUUAAUUUAUGAGUUAUUGAUCCAUCAUUGGUGAUUAUAAGAUUAAGUUACUUUAAGGAUAACAGCGUAAUUCCUUUGGAGAGUCCAUAUCGAUAGAGAAGAUUGCGACCUCGAUGUUGGAUUAAGAUAUAAUUUUAGGUGCAGUAGCUUAAAUUUUGAGUCUGUUCGACUCU